UGUUUCCUGAUUUUUAUUUAUUUACUAUUUGAUCAUCAUUCGUUAAAAUGAAAACCCCGCUAUAAAGCCAAUUUAUUUAGGCUGUAUAUGUUACCUACCCUUUAAAAUAAUGACUGUACAUAACAUUUACAUUUUCGAUAGAGUAGGAACGUUAUUAUAUUACCAAGAAUGGAACAGGUUGAAGCAUUCAGGAAUGACCAAAGAAGAGGAAGCCAAACUUACAUAUGGAAUGUUAUUUUCAAUUAAGUCCUUUGUGAAUAGAAUAUCUCCUACAGAUACUAAAGAAGGAUUUCUUUUCUAUAGAACCUCUAAAUACAGCUUACAUUAUUUAGAAACACCAUCAGGUUUAAAGUUUGUUCUAAAUACUGAUAACCAUUCCCAAGGGAUCAGAGAUCUGUUACAACAGAUUUAUAAGGAAAUUUUUGUUGAAUAUGUUGUUAGAAAUCCAUUGUGCAAUUUGAAUGAACCAAUACAAUCGGAGCUCUUUAAGACGAAGCUGGAUGCUUACAUUAAGCAGUCCUCUGUAUUUUUAACAAAGUCUAUGUAAAGUACACCUAUUUAUUAAUUAAUAUCAAGGUUUCUUGUUUUGUAUGAUUUGUUAUAAAGUUGAAAUACGGAAAAUUACCUAAGAUCCUGCAAAUCAGUGCACUUUUGCACUGCAUCAUAAUAAAUUUUUGUCAGGAAAAGGAAAAAA